ACACACAAAAGAGAAAUCACAAACACAGGACUGUCACAGAUUUCAUGCUGGUGAAGUAAUUUCAGCAAUUAGAAGUAAAGGCAAAAAUAAACUUUUUGAUGAAAAAGGAGUGUUUGGCAGGGUUUGUCGGCAUGACUUUCCAAAAAGCUUACUCAGCAUCAAACAUGGUGAAAGAAUUUCCUAUGCUGUAUAUGAGCUAGAAAAACUAAAGGCUGGCAUUUCUGCAGAAUCACUCAAUUAUGUUCUGAUGUACGACAUUGCCUGUGUUUUAUCAAACCACCUGCAGGGCUCCGGCCAGCAGUCUUUGCUGUCGAAUACAACUCUUGCAAUACCAAUAUUUCAUUGUUAUGGGCAUAAAGCCUCUUGCCAGGUCAAAUAUAGUCCACGAAGAAAGGCGAAUGUUGGUUUAACCGAUGGAGAAGGCGUUGAGCGUUUUUGGUCAUUUCUUAGACAGUUUUCCUCAAUAACCAAAGAAAUGUCUGUUGAUAAAAGAAGUGAUGUGCUAACUGACGCUACUAUCCAUUAUGGUGAACAUCUUGUUGCAAAAUUUGGUAAUAUAAUAGAAAUUCA